CCAAUCARACAAAUAGUGUGGACAAUCUYGCUGGGCCGAGCUCACAGAUUCCCCAAGAUCAAUUCCAUCUGGCCAGCAAAGUCCAGGAACCACAGCCGGCCCCCGACCCUCAGCAGAACCGCUUGCAGACCUUGUUCCAGCUCGCUUAAGCUGCUCCGACUGAACAUCUGAAUAUAGUCUAAAACAAGCUGCAGCUCUGCAGAAAAGGAGAGGAGAACAGUUACAGUUUAAGCUCCUCCCACCAGCUCAGUUCACCAUCCAUCCAUCCAUCCAUCCAUC